CCUACGGGAGGCAGCAGUGGGGAAUAUUGCACAAUGGGGGAAACCCUGAUGCAGCGACGCCGCGUGAGUGAUGAAGUACUUCGGUAUGUAAAGCUCUAUUAGCAGGGAAGUUAAUGACGGUACCUGAGCAAGUAUCCCCGGCCAACAACGUGCCAGCUGCCGCGGUAAUACGGAGGAGGCCACCGUAAUCCGGAUUUACUGGGUGUAAGGGGAGCGUAGACGGUAUGGCAAGUCUGAAGUGAAAGCCCGGGGCCCAACCGCGAGACUGCUUUGGAAACUGUUAAGCUGGAGUGCAGGAGAGGUAAGUGGAAUUCGUAGUGUAGCGGUGAAAUGCGUAGAUAUUAGGAAGAACACCGAUGGCGAAGGCGGCUUACUAAACUGUAACUGACGUUGAGGCUCGAAAGCGUGGGGAGCAAACAGGAUUAGAUACCCCAGUAGUC
rnacentral:rRNA from 1 species